rnacentral:rRNA from 1 species
CAGCAGCCGCGGGAAUACGUAGGGUGCAAGCGUUAAUCGGAAUUAUUGGGCGUAAAGCGUGCGCAGGCGGUUCGUUAAGACAGAUGUGAAAUCCCCGGGCUUAACCUGGGAACUGCAUUUGUGACUGGCGGGCUAGAGUAAGGCAGAGGGGGGUAGAAUUCCACGUGUAGCAGUGAAAUGCGUAGAGAUGUGGAGGAAUACCGAUGGCGAAGGCAGCCCCCUGGGCCAAUACUGACGCUCAUGCACGAAAGCGUGGGGAGCAAACAGGAUUAGAUACCCCAGUAGUCCCUGUCUCUUAUAC